GUGUGACUUCACAAAAGCUUCUCUGAAAAGGGAGUAGGCCAGGAAAUCAUAGGGGCUCGGGGAACAGCUCUGUUCUCAGCCACCGAAUCUGGCAAAAACUGGAUUGGUGUUGUAGAAAGAACACUCUGGAGAUUGGAGAUUGUGCAGGAAAACCACACUACACAUCACAGAUUUAGGAAGGAAGAAGAAGGAAGGAAGGAAAGAAGGAAGGAAAUAAAAUAGCUCAGAUAAGGACUCAAGUGAGGAACAUGCUAUAUUUGAGAAGAUAACAUUUUGGAACCGGUAUAUGUAACCCUGAAUGUAGGAACAUAUUCCAAUAUAUUAAGGCAGUCUCUGAGGACACUGUGCUUCCUGUGACAAGACGGAAGAUCAGAGGGGAGGAGUAGUUUGAGUAUUCUUACAUAAAAUCUUUGGCUCGCUUCCUGAGAUGUGAGAUCUAAGUGCAAGACUCUUAUUUCAAAGUUGUAAACAAGUUCAGUGGACUCCAAAUUCUGGAUCUUGUAGAUGGUCCUACUAACUUCUUAGAGGAUGCGAGCUAAAUGUUUAUGUCCUUUGAAACCCCUUGAGUGUUACUGAGUAUAAAUUCUGAGAGUCACCUGAGAGUCCAAUGUUAGCUGAUCUUGAGAUGGGAUGGAAGUACUUCAGUACGUAAUGAAGAUGCUAGAGCAAAAGUGCUCUGCUUAAAAACAAAACAAAACAAAAACAGAGAAAGAUAGAAAGGAUAAGAAGUGUGGAGGAGAAGGAAAAGAAAAGGCUGCAUGGGUGCCCAUCCAUCGAUGAAGAGGAGGAAACCAAGAGGCUGGCCGCUGAGGAGAGGUAUCAGGAUGGAAAAGAAAUGUUUGUAGCAUUUUAAAAUGGUAACUUACUUGCCAAAUGAUCACAUUGUAAACCACUUCCUCCAUUUCUACCUCUCUUUAAAAAAACUUUUAAUAAAAU